UUGUUACUGGGAUUCGAUCACAUCCGUCGGACAAUUUGCAAUAUGUUACUGGAAUUUUUUAUUUGGUUUGUUUAUGAUUUUUCUUAUUUGGUUUUGUUAAUUAGAAUUUGAUCACUAACUAAUUCCACUUCUCACCGAUCCAUGUGGUAUAUCUAAUUAUCAAGACAUGUAAAAAGUCCCAGCUGUUCAAUAAAAGAUUAUAUCCAUCGACUAAUAUACAGUUCACUUGUAAAUCAUAUGUUGAGCUCUUACACCUUAGUGGCUCAAGAGUCAAGACAACAACAAUGUUCAAUGCAUAAUGUAGUCACAUAAAAUCCAUAACAUGCAAAAAUAUGUCAAUGACAGUUAAUCAAAUACCUAUGGACAAAAGGUAAAGACAACAAGCAGCAACCGAAUAUGAAGCAGAUUCAAACAAUACAUAAGGUUAGACUACGCCAUAAUCCUAAAUGCAAGUGUUUUAAAUAAUUGCAGUCCACAACCACAAUUACUGCCUUAACAAUGUUGAAAAGUACACAACUACCGUAUUUAUUUACGACUGCAUUUUUCCACAAUUGUUUUCACUUUCGGUAUUUGAAAUGUAACCACAGUUGCAACUGCACCGCUACUUGAAACCAUUUUGAAUCCAGCAACCUAUUCCAGUAUAGCUGGAAUUCAUGCAAUAGAUUAUUAGACUAAACAAACAUGGCGAGAGAAAUUACUAUCACAAAAAAGUAUUCAUGCCCAUAAGUGCAAGCUAAAAUCAACUUUCACAUGAAUUACUAGCCAAUUAUUAAGACUUAUAUACAUCGUGGUAUUGAAAAAGGUUAACAAAUUUAAAAACAAAACCAACAUUUGUGUAAGUAGGAAAUGCAAAACGUUAACUAAACUAUCUCAAACUAGCUCCAAUCAAGUCCUGAACAAGUAUUCAAANNNNNNNNNNNNNNNNNNNNNNNUAAGGCUAAAUACCUGAAAACUUGAUCAUGACAUGCCGGUUUUGUCCCUGGUUUGUGCAAGACUCAAUUUUUCUUCAUAAAGCUUUAAUAGAUAAGAUGUCUCCUCCUUAAAACGUUUUACACACGUAUCAAGAAACACCUGCUCAGACACUACAAAUGGACAAGUUAAGCUUGCAUCCUUUUUUCG
rnacentral:lncRNA from 1 species